GUUGUAUAGUCAAGUAAUUAAGUGCAUGUGGUGGAUGCCUUGGCAGUCAGAGGCGAUGAAAGACGUGAUAGCCUGCGAAAAGCUCCGGGGAGGCGGCAAAUAUCCUUUGAUCCGGAGAUGUCUGAAUGGGGGAACCCACCUACUUUAAGGUAGGUAUUGCAACAUGAAUACAUAGUGUUGCAAGGCGAACGAGGGGAAGUGAAACAUCUCAGUACCCUUAGGAAAAGAAAUCAAUUGAGAUUCCCUCAGUAGCGGCGAGCGAACGGGGAUCAGCCCAUUAAGUUAUGUGUGUUUUAGUGGAACGCUCUGGGAAGUGCGAACGUAGAGGGUGAUAUUCCCGUACACGAAAGGGCACACAUAAUGAUGACGAGUAGGGCGAGGCACGUGAAACCUUGUCUGAAUAUGGGGGGACCAUCCUCCAAGGCUAAAUACUCCUGACUGACCGAUAGUGAACCAGUACCGUGAGGGAAAGGCGAAAAGAACCCCUGUGAGGGGAGUGAAAUAGAUCCUGAAACCGCAUGCAUACAAGCAGUGGGAGCACCUUCGUGGUGUGACUGCGUACCUUUUGUAUAAUGGGUCAGCGACUUAUAUUCAGUAGCGAGGUUAACCGUAUAGGGGAGCCGUAGAGAAAUCGAGUCUUAAUAGGGCGUUUAGUUGCUGGGUAUAGACCCGAAACCAGGCGAUCUAUCCAUGAGCAGGUUGAAGGUUGGGUAACACUAACUGGAGGACCGAACCCACUGUCGUUGAAAAGCCAGGGGAUGACUUGUGGAUAGGGGUGAAAGGCUAAUCAAGCCUGGUGAUAGCUGGUUCUCCCCGAAAGCUAUUUAGGUAGCGCCUCGGACGAAUACCAUAGGGGGUAGAGCACUGUUUCGGCUAGGGGGUCAUCCCGACUUACCAAACCGAUGCAAACUCCGAAUACCUAUGAGUACUAUCCGGGAGACAGACUGCGGGUGCUAACGUCCGUAGUCAAGAGGAAAACAAUCCAGACCGCCAGCUAAGGCCCCAAAAUCAUAGUUAAGUGGGAAACGAUGUGGGAAGGCAUAGACAGCUAGGAGGUUGGCUUAGAAGCAGCCACCCUUUAAAGAAAGCGUAAUAGCUCACUAGUCGAGUCGGCCUGCGCGGAAGAUGUAACGGGGCUAAAACUAUGUGCCGAAGCUGCGGAUNNNNNNNNNNNNNNNNNNNNNNNNNNNNNNNNNNNNAUGCUGGAGGUAUCAGAAGUGCGAAUGCUGACGUGAGUAACGACAAAACGGGUGAAAAACCCGUUCGCCGAAAGACCAAGGGUUCCAGUCCAACGUUAAUCGGGGCUGGGUGAGUCGACCCCUAAGGCGAGGCCGAAAGGCGUAGUCGAUGGGAAAAUGGUUAAUAUUCCAUUACUUCUGUGUAAUGCGAUGAGAGGACGGAGAAGGCUAAAUCAGCCUGGCGUUGGUUGUCCAGGUGAAAGGAUGUAGGCAUGUAUCUUAGGCAAAUCCGGGGUACUCUAUGCUGAGAUCUGAUAGCAAGCUGUACUUGUACAGCGAAGUGGUUGAUGCCAUGCUUCCAGGAAAAGUCUCUAAGCUUCAGUUACACAGGAAUCGUACCCGAAACCGACACAGGUGGUCAGGUCGAGUAGACCAAGGCGCUUGAGAGAACUCUGCUGAAGGAACUAGGCAAAAUGGUACCGUAACUUCGGGAGAAGGUACGCUGUUGUUGGUGAUGGAACUCGCUUCCUGAGCUGACGACAGCCGCAGAAACCAGGCCGCUGCAACUGUUUAUUAAAAACAUAGCACUCUGCAAACACGAAAGUGGACGUAUAGGGUGUGAUGCCUGCCCGGUGCUGGAAGGUUAAUUGAUGGGGUUAGCGUAAGCGAAGCUCUUGAUCGAAGCCCCAGUAAACGGCGGCCGUAACUAUAACGGUCCUAAGGUAGCGAAAUUCCUUGUCGGGUAAGUUCCGACCUGCACGAAUGGCAUAAUGAUGGCGGCGCUGUCUCCAGCAGAGGCUCAGUGAAAUCGAAAUCGCUGUGAAGAUGCAGUGUACCCGCGGCUAGACGGAAAGACCCCGUGAACCUUUACUGCAGCUUGACACUGAACUUUGACCUUACUUGUGUAGGAUAGGUGGGAGGCUUUGAAGCUGGAACGCUAGUUCCAGUGGAGCCGUCCUUGAAAUACCACCCUGGUAAUGUUGAGGUUCUAACUCUGUCCCGUGAUCCGGGACGAGGACCGUGUCUGGUGGGUAGUUUGACUGGGGCGGUCUCCUCCUAAAGAGUAACGGAGGAGUACGAAGGUGCGCUCAGCGUGGUCGGAAAUCACGCGUAGAGUAUAAAGGCAAAAGCGCGCUUAACUGCGAGACCCACAAGUCGAGCAGGUACGAAAGUAGGUCUUAGUGAUCCGGUGGUUCUGUAUGGAAGGGCCAUCGCUCAACGGAUAAAAGGUACUCUGGGGAUAACAGGCUGAUACCGCCCAAGAGUUCAUAUCGACGGCGGUGUUUGGCACCUCGAUGUCGGCUCAUCUCAUCCUGGGGCUGAAGCAGGUCCCAAGGGUAUGGCUGUUCGCCAUUUAAAGAGGUACGCGAGCUGGGUUUAGAACGUCGUGAGACAGUUCGGUCCCUAUCUACCGUGGGCGCUGGAAAUUUGAGAGGAUCUGCUCCUAGUACGAGAGGACCAGAGUGGACGAACCUCUGGUGUACCGGUUGUGACGCCAGUCGCAUCGCCGGGUAGCUAUGUUCGGAAGGGAUAACCGCUGAAAGCAUCUAAGCGGGAAGCCUACCUCAAGAUAAGAUUUCCCUAGGACUUUAUGUCCUCUAAAGAGCCGUUCGAGACUAGGACGUUGAUAGGUUGGAUGUGGAAGCAUAGUGAUAUGUGAAGCUGACCAAUACUAAUUGCUCGUGAGGCUUGACUAUACAACACCCAAGCAGUUG
rnacentral:rRNA from 1 species